UCACGGAAACCAUACUUGCUGCCACGUGCCCUCUGAUCCGUGAAUGAUGGUAGCAUAGGUCACCGUUCAGAUUUACUUGCACAGAAGAGAUAGCUUAUAAAUCUCUUCUUCUAUCUCCAUGUAAUUCACUUUUGGAAUAUAUGAGAAUUUCUNCUGAUGCANUUCCAGCUAUUUUCUCNGCACCGAAAGUCACUCCACCAUGAGCUUCCCCUUUCUCUCCUCUAGCUUCCUUCCAGGGAUGGAAGGCGGUCUGAGCUAGAUAUCACAUCCACCGAAAGCUCUUCCUCCACCUAAAUCAACCACUAGAUCCACUGAACCACGUUUCUUNCGCUGCUAGUUGCAUUUAGUGAGCAUACUUCACCUCUACUCAUGGAUUCAUCACCCAUUCGGCUGCUUCAAUAUCUCCCAUGGCUGGAACGUACUCUAUCAGGUGGUAUUCAGAGCCUAGGUUGCUCACGGUGCUCUCUGGUUGUUCCAGCUAAGUGUCUCUUUUCAUUCCAUUUUGUCAAAUUUUNUUUCUGCGUGUUUCUUGAUUCUGGUUAUUGUUCCAUUCAAUUUUUCGUGUUAUAGGUUCUGUUGCGUCUUUUGUUUGUGUGCCAGCUUUUAUUUGUUUUUGAUUCAUCAUUUUAUUCGGCCAGAUCUUUGAGUUUGAGUCUUUUAUUUUCAAAUCCUGUUCGGUUUGUCUAAGUCAUGUUACUGNUUUAAUUUUGUCAAAUUCUGAAGUUGGAUCUCUGCCUGGAUAAAUCUGUGUUACUUGAAUGGUUAUUNAAGAGCUGCACAUUAUAAGAGCAAUGAUUCNAAAGAGCUCAAGUGUAGCCUGAGUCCAUCAAAGUGCAGUACCGAUUAAUGCAGAAGUGGAAUCUGUUUCAAAAUCUGGUUUCAGUUUCAUUUAAUUUGUACCGUGUGGAAAAUCGAAUUCUGGAUGUGUUGAAUUGUUGCGAUAGUGUGAUAGGCAUGCCAUAUGAAUAGUGAUUUGUCUAAGACAAUCAUUCAUGAUGCACCACACUGCAGAUACAAAAUUCACUAAUUCAAGCAGACAGAGCCGAGCUGCAAUUUCUUUGUGUGUCUUUUGUCUAUGAUUUUGCAAUUUUUAAAUCUGUCCAGCUUAGACUUCGUAUCUGGACCUCUUUAAAACCAAUUCUGGAGUCUUUUUCAAGUUUAAAUUGCUGUCCUAGAGUCACAAAAAUUGUUUCCAGUUCAAUUUGAAUCCUCUGUUGAAUUUUGGUUGGUGAUUUGGCUUAAUUUUGGUGCUUAAGAGCAACUAAACUAGUGAAAAUCUGAGUUACAAGUUUGUAGCCUCUGCUGGCUGUUGAAACAAGUCAUAAUUGGUAAAAUAAAGUUGCUCAAAUCAUAAAAUUGAGUGUUCAAACUGGUUUGUGUAAAUUUGCCAUUUCAACCACCAAACUUCAACAUGUUCUUUGGGUUAAGUUGCAGAAAAUUCUGUAUAACUGUGUGGCUGUGUUAAUGCAUCGAAUUUCAUCAAUAAUUGGUAGCAAAAGCUUGGUUCAGUUGAGUUAAAAGAAGUGCACAUUUCGAAUUCUGUUAAGAAUUGCACUGUAAAAAGCUAGUAGAACCAGUACGGCAUACAUACUGUCAAAUUCUGAUGCACAUUUUCAGCUACUCUCUUAGGCAUUUUGUCAAACACUUUUGCCUAGUUUAAAACUGGUUUCGAUUUUGCAAAAGCUGCAACUUAUAAUUGUUUCUUGCUUUCUUAAUCCACUCUAGAGCCUUUCCUAAGAUCAUUUUGAGUGCCACCCGUUAUUGCUAGCCUUUAAUUGCUUGAGUUUUAUCUGUUUGAAAAUUCUGCACAUAAAUUGUUUGAUAAAAUCACAGUUGUGCAUUCUGGGUUUGCAAUUUUCUGGCAGCAGCAAAGUUGUUUUCUGCUCUUGAAAUUGAUUGAUGGUGGUUCCUUUGAGCUCUUUGUUGGGUGCAGAAUCAUCUCAGGUGGUACUACAUCACUGGUAGCCUCCUAGGAAGUGGAGAGUAAGUGGAAAACUCAAGUUUGGAAGCUGAUUUCGGUGCAGCAGGGUUCCUUAUCUUGGACUGCAAUUUUUGCUUGCUGUCAUAGCAUAAGUCUUCACACCAGCAGCUAUGAGAUUAGUGUGAAUCACUCCAGAUUCAUUUCCUUGAGAUGAACAUUGAACUACAAAAGGCACAAACACCCNNCANCUGAGAGUUUUGAAUUUACUGCAUAUUAGCAGUCCUUUCUUUAUUGAGAAUCCAGAGCUGCAAUGUCCAAAGCCUUUUCUUCUGAUUUGUUUUCCAGAUUUGUAAAAUCCUAAUCAGCUUUUGGAAACAAAUCACCUGCACUGAUUUCAGUUUAUUGGUUAACNAUUUGUUUUACUGAUUCUUUUGUGUGCNGAAUUAGAAUUUGGCUUGACCAAGGGGUAGCAAGUUGUGACUGUUGAAUCAAUGCUCAUCUGCCGCAGUUGAAACUGGAUGAACACCAUCUUUGAUUAUCAACAUUGUCCAAGAAUCAGUGACUGUUUGACCAAAGUGGUUUAAACCACAAGCUGCAUUACUUCGAUUUUGCAGAGAAUAUUGUUAUGGACAAAUUGAAAGUAAUGCAAUCUUGUCAAGUAUAGUUAAAAUUUGGUUUGAUUAGAAUUGAAAAGGCUUGAACAACAGAUUGCAAUUUGAGAAGCAAAUUGGAUCCAUCUUCCACAACAAUUACAGUCAAACCGAGAAAGGAAGAGUGGAAUCCAAAAGCUAGGAGAUUCCAAAGUUGUCCAAAGCUGUCCAACAAUUGGAUUUAAAUGAAAUCAGAACGUGACAGUAGCAAUUGUUAGCUUUCUUUUGUAAUUGUUUUGUUCAUUUUGGUUAGGUUUUCUGUGUUAGAUUUCUUUAAAGUGUAAAAGGCCAUUCCAAGUCCAAGUGUUUUUGGAAGAGUCCUUGGUGCUCCUUCAACUCUUGGCAAUUGUUUGCUUUACAUUUAGCUUAGACUGGUGAGUGUGUCUUGCUAGCCAAAGCUACAAGCCUCACCUUAGGAGUAGAAUUUUAUCUUACUUGUUUGUAUGUGAUUUUGUAUGUCN
rnacentral:lncRNA from 1 species